rnacentral:rRNA from 1 species
AAAUGACUCUCGGCAACGGAUAUCUCGGCUCUCGCAUCGAUGAAGAACGCAGUGAAAUGCGAUACUUGGUGUGAAUUGCAGAAUCCCGUGAACCAUCGAGUCUUUGAACGCAAGUUGCGCCCGAAGCCACCAGGCCGAGGGCACGUCUGCCUGGGCGUC